rnacentral:tRNA from 1 species
CAGGUUAGGGUAGGAUUGGCAAUACGAUCGCUUUGGGUGCGAUAAGACCUUGUUCGAUUCAAGGUGACCUGA